GACGAACGCUGGCGGCGUGCUUAACACAUGCAAGUCGAACGGUAAGGCCCUUCGGGGUACACGAGUGGCGAACGGGUGAGUAACACGUGGGUGAUCUGCCCUGCACUUCGGGAUAAGCCUGGGAAACUGGGUCUAAUACCGGAUAGGACCCUGGGAUGCAUGUCCUGGGGUGGAAAGCUUUUGGGGUGUGGGAUGGGCCCGCGGCCUAACAGCUUGUUGUUGCGGUGAUGGCCUACCAAGGCGACGACGGGUAGCCGGCCUGAGAGGGUGACCGGCGAAACUGGGAAUGGGAGACGGCCCAGACUCCUACGAGAGACAGCAGUGGGGAAUAUUGCACAAUGGGCGAGAGCCUGGUGCAGCGAAGCCGCGUGGGGGAUGACGGCCUUCGGGUUGUAAACCUCUUUCAGCACCGACGAAGCGCAAGUGACGGUAGAUGCAGAAGAAGGACCGGCCAACUACGUGCCAGCCGCCGCGGUAA
rnacentral:rRNA from 1 species